rnacentral:rRNA from 1 species
GACGAACGCUGGCGGCGUGCUUAACACAUGCAAGUCGAACGGAAAGGCCCUGCUUUUGUGGGGUGCUCGAGUGGCGAACGGGUGAGUAACACGUGAGUAACCUGCCCUUGACUUUGGGAUAACUUCAGGAAACUGGGGCUAAUACCGGCUAGGAGCUCCCGCUGCAUGGUGGGGGUUGGAAAGUUUCGGCGGUUGGGGAUGGACUCGCGGCUUAUCAGAUUGUUGGUGGGGUAGUGGCUUACCAAGGCUUUGACGGGUAGCCGGCCUGAGAGGGUAACCUGCCAAGUUGGGACUGAGAUGCGGCCCAGACUCCUACGGGAGGGAGCGGUGGGGAAUAGUGCACAAUGGGCGGAAGCCUGAUGCAGCAACGCCGCGUGGGGGAUGACAGCCAUCGGUUUGUAUACCGCUGUCGCUUGUGACGAGGCGUGAGUGACGGUAAUGGGUAAAGAAGCACCGGCUAACUACGUG